AGAUUUGAAUUCGGCGAAUGUUUCGACGACUUCACCCGUCCCUGCUAAUAAUUCUUUGACUGCGGAAUACGGCCACGACACAAGCACAAAGCCAACGAAUAUUACAAUAUCAACGAAUGUGACGACUACAGCAAACCAAGCUCCUGUCCCAUCGAGCUUGUCUGCUGGUCAUAUUGCGGCAUGGGUCAUAGGAGCAUGCGCACUUGUAGCGUGUAUCGGCGCUGUGCUGUAUCUGCUGCGGUGUUCCUCAUUAAAGGCGAAACUCCUCUUUGCAACAAAACGCUCAGAUCUUAGUUUCGAUAGCGCUUUAUUUUAAAAGGACGGGGACGAACCUGUCAUGCUACAGUGAUUGCCACUUGAAAAUACUAUCAUGCUGAAACGAUGAUGCAUUUCAUGAACAAAAUUUUUCGAGAUGGCAUUUAGGAACGUUGUCGACUCCAGCAAAAUCCUGAUCUUGAAAAUUGUUUAUAUUGAUUGUGCUUAAUUG